rnacentral:rRNA from 1 species
UGAGGAAUAUUGGACAAUGGAUGGAAAUCUGAUCCAGCCAUGCCGCGUGCAGGAAGACGGCCCUAUGGGUUGUAAACUGCUUUUGUAUGGGAGCAAUAAGGACUACGUGUAGUUUGCUGAGAGUACCAUACGAAUAAGCAUCGGCUAACUCCGUGCCAGCAGCCGCGGUAAUACGGAGGAUGCGAGCGUUAUCCGGAUUUCUUGGGUUUAAAGGGUGCGUAGGCGGCGAUAUAAGUCAGUGGUGAAAUAUUUCGGCUUAACCGAGAGACUGCCAUUGAUACUGUGUUGCUAGAAUAUGGUUGCUGUGAGUGGAAUGUGUGGUGUAGCGGUGAAAUGCUUAGAUAUCACACAGAAUAUCGAUUGCGAAGGCAGCUCACAAAGCCAUUAUUGACGCUGAGGCACGAAAGUGUGGGGAUCAAAC